UACGGAGGGUGCAAGCGUUAAUCGGAAUUACUGGGCGUAAAGCGCGCGUAGGCGGUUUGUUAAGCUAGUUGUGAAAGCCCAGGGCUCAACCUUGGAAUUGCAAUUAGAACUGGCAAGCUAGAGUGCAGCAGAGGAUAGUGGAAUUUCUAGUGUAGCGGUGAAAUGCGUAGAUAUUAGAAGGAACACCAGUGGCGAAGGCGACUGUCUGGGCUGACACUGACGCUGAGGUGCGAAAGCGUGGGGAGCAAACAGG
rnacentral:rRNA from 1 species